rnacentral:rRNA from 1 species
UACGGGGGGUGCAAGCGUUGUUCGGAAUCAUUGGGCGUAAAGAGCGUGUAGGCGGCUAGGCAAGUCAGAUGUGAAAUCCCUGGGCUUAACCCAGGACGUGCAUUUGAAACUGCUUGGCUUGAGUAGGGAAGAGGGAAGUGGUAUUCCUGGUGUAGAGGUGAAAUUCGUAGAUAUCAGGAGGAACACCGGUGGCGAAGGCGACUUCCUGGUCCUAUACUGACGCUGAGACGCGAGAGCGUGGGGAGCAAACAGG